UUAAUGAAGCUGACUUUAGUAAUGCAUUUUCCCUGCUUUACUGACUGUGGCAUCUGCUCAUCUUUGUCCGGUCUCUUGGUCAACAAUUCCCCACUGUCCAGGAUCACCAGAGAAUGCUCCUCCCAAGGACUUGACCAAGCUCAGACCCUUUAGCUGGGCAGUCCUAGGAAUGAGUCCCGAGGCAAGGAUGGGCCCAGUGAAGCCCUGUUUCUAUCAGUGAGGAGUUGGGAAAUGUCCAAGAAGGGGGCCACAAGUCACUCAUUCGAAGUGCCAUCGAAGAAUAUUCAGCAACACAGAAAAAUAAGUGAAAC
rnacentral:lncRNA from 1 species